CAAAAGACUCCCGAGUCCAUAAGAACACACCAACAUCCACUAUUUAGGCACAAGCAUAAUAAAGAGAAAAGCUAGUAUUAACACCCACACUGCAUGUACAUUUCUUGGCAGAUAGCUCUGCAGAGUUCAGCUCUUUGCUGCUGAAGUGACUCUGAGAAAACACAGCUGCUUCUCGGGAAUAUGAUGUCAUCGUGGGACAACUCCAGUGUUGAUCUUUAAUAAAGACAAAACCUUCAUCAGUCAGUUACAGACUGUCAGGGCCUGACAAUUACAGGAACACAAAGAGGAGAUAAACAGCGGCGGUUUGUUUUUCGGUGAGAUUUGCCGGACAUUGCUGCGGCCUGCCGGAGCAGUUGGUGGCUAAUGACGGAUGGAGAACGCCUUUGUCGUUAUCAAUGAGCAGUGAGUGGGUGUUAUGAUAAAGUCAAGUGUAUAUUACUGACUCAUGCAACUCGACACACCGGUCAUGAGUGACCCUAGAGCGCCAUUAACCAGCCCUCCCCGAGGUCACAUCAAGGCAGACACAACUCAGGCUCUCACUCACUAAGUCCUGAGCCAGAGCCAGAUCCACAGAGACCUGUCUAUUUUCUCUGCUCCAGCCCUGGAAGGCAGUGUUUCUCUAUCAGCCUACUCAUAUCUAUUGAAAUAACAAACCACAGUCCUCCACAUGUACGAGGCUCCCACAAUUGACAGUGAUAUUCAUGUUCACUCCAUUAAAGUUUGACCGCAAUGAGUGCGGUGCCAGUCCGCCAAGACGGAUCAACUGCAAGGGGAUGAGAAAAGACAGGGGUGCGCUCUUCAAAGAGCAGAUAGCCUCUAAUCAACCCUCUGGACUAACGAGGUCAAACAGCAGAGAUGGAUGACAGCAUUUUUCCCCCCAGCUAUAGUCUCAAAAUGUCCCAUUCGGUGUAGAGAAAUCCAGACAUCAUAUCAGGGGAUUUCUGAUAACAGCGGUCCAGCGGUGCUGAGAGAGGAUCUGCGGUGUUGAACUGGGAGGUGAGGAUGAAAACAGCCUUUUAUAAGCUGUCUGGGCACACAGGGGCCAAGACUCCUGAAGUUAGCUGUAAAAGAAAGCCUUUGAAAGCAGACUGCUUUGAUGUCGCAGGUUCUAAUCGCGGUAUUCCUGCGGCAGAGCACAACUCAACUCUGUCAGAGAAAAACCGAGCAAAUCCUGCCCAGUCCUGGAAUCUUAUCUCAUACUUGGAAGCUCCGGGUGAUGUGGGGUCUGAGGAAGAACUGGCAUCCCAGCAGGUGUUUGUUUGGUUUUACUCAUCAAUGUGGAAGUUGUGUGAUCAUGGCCACCCAGCUGGGGAUCUCUUCAAGAUGUGAAGUCAUUCAGCUCUACUAUCACCUUCAAUACUUCCAAUUGGAAGCACGUGACAGCACUUUACAACACAGUUUGGUAAU